CUGAGGAGAAUGAGCUUGGAGCUGCCGGGCAUAACCCGGCGCGGCUCAGAGGUGGGAUGCUGAAGGAUUUGGGGAGGCAGCUGCAACAGGGCAUCGCUCACUGUCCAAGUGUUUCCGUUUCUGAGCGCAAAAAGAAGAACUUAAGCGGGCGGCAGUUGGAGUUUAAAUUGCUUUGUAGUGUUUAAAAGCAGCGUGGAUCGUGGGCAGCUUGAACUGCAGUCAACUAACAGGACUUCCUAUGAAAUCACUGACCACCGUGUGCUCCUCCAGCCUCUUUUAACUCCUAAUUCUAGGAGCCUGAGAACUAAAGCGAACCACAAAGAGCCACAAGCACUUACCCUCAACCCUGAUGAAGCAGUUCACAAAGAAAGUCUCACAUGUUUCAGAUGAUGAUGGUGAUUUGGGCUCUGGCUCCAUUAGAGGAUGAGACUUGACUGUUCUAGAAAACAACAGCUUGUCCUGUGGAGAAUUCUGAGUACAUGCAGAUGGAAAAUUAGAGGCUGAAUACCAAAAGACAAAGGAGCUGUUUUCCUGAGAGUCCAUCUGGGACCCUAAGUACAAGCAGUGGUGAGCUAGUUAGCAAAGGUGAAGUAUGGAGCUGGAGGAGCAAUAACUGGAUCCAAAAGGCAAGAUGUACAGUCUAUCGGGAAGAUUAGCCAUCAUAAGCAUGUAGGACCAAUCAUCCAUUCCCUCAUGAUACCAACUCAUUUCUAAACUGAUAUGCAAUGCAGGCCCUGGAAUUCCAUGGCAGCCCUUGUUUAUAGUGAUCUUCCAGGUGACCUGUCAUUGUAGAUUCCCAUGUAAUUGCAAGCAGAAUAUUACGGUGGUGAACAUCACAGUCUCUGAGGGAUCAAAGAAGAUCUAACCCCUCAACAACCAGCUUGUCAUUGUUGUGUAAGAUCAUGAAGCUGGGAACUAAACGGCUGCCCAGUGCCCACGAAGGUGGAUCCGGGAUGGCAGAGAAGAAAGACAGAGAGAGCCAGAGUCUAAACGGCAUUGUUGAGUCAGGAACUCAUCCAACAGUCACAACAUUUAUGAGAAAGAAACACGCAAGCUCUGUAUCUAGACAAAGCAGGAGGAACUAACACUCAAAACCCAAAUGGAUGGAAAGAAUGUUCACAGCAGUGAAUAUUUCUCAGAUAUCGUGGCUGAGAUGCUGAAGAGCACACUGGAACAGCUUUUUGCAGCUGCAGGGGCAGAACAAGGACUCUGGCACAUAUCAAGAGGGAUGCCAGAACAUCUUUGGAUAACUACAGGAAUAUGACUGAACAAGAAGAAACGUGUUUCACUAAGGUAAGUUAUUCCUUUGAAUUAUUUGAUUUUUUUCUGAUUAUGCAACCUUUCUGUCCAUUGUAGAUUAAAUAUGAAAUUGUGAUUUUUUUCUAUUAAAAAUAAUUUUCUUGGAACAACAACAAAAAAGACUUUUUAAGAUUUCUGACUGAGUUUUGU